GAUGGACGCUAGCGGCAGGCCUAAUACAUGCAAGUCGAACGAUAUCAUGCAGCUUGCUGGAUGAGAAAGUGGCGCACGGGUGCGUAACGCGUAUGCAACCUACCUUUAUCAGGGGGAUAGCCCGGAGAAAUCCGGAUUAAUACCGCAUAAAAUCACAGGAUGGCAUUAUCCAAUGAUCAAACAUAUAUGGGAUAAAGAUGGGCAUGCGUGUCAUUAGCUAGUUGGCGGGGUAACGGCCCACCAAGGCGACGAUGACUAGGGGAUCUGAGAGGAUGGCCCCCCACACUGGUACUGAGACACGGACCAGACUCCUACGGGAGGCAGCAGUAAGGAAUAUUGGUCAAUGGGCGGAAGCCUGAACCAGCCAUGCCGCGUGCAGGAAGACUGCCCUAUGGGUUGUAAACUGCUUUUAUCCGGGAAUAAACCUGCUUACGUGUAAGUAGCUGAAUGUACCGGAAGAAUAAGGAUCGGCUAACUACGUGCCAGCCGCCGCAGUAA
rnacentral:rRNA from 1 species